rnacentral:rRNA from 1 species
UGGCCGCGGGAUUUGAUUAAGCCAUGCGAGUCGAACGAGUUUAGGCUCGUGGCGUACGGCUCAGUAACACGUGGAUAAUCUACCCUUAGGACCAGGAUAACCCUGGGAAACUGGGGAUAAUACUGGAUAGGCAAUUAUUCCUGUAAUGGUUUUUUGUUUAAAUGUUUUUUCGCCUAAGGAUGAGUCUGCGGCCGAUUAGGUAGUUGGUUAGGUAAUGGCUUACCAAGCCGUUGAUCGGUACGGGUUGUGAGAGCAAGAGCCCGGAGAUGGAACCUGAGACAAGGUUCCAGGCCCUACGGGGUGCAGCAGGCGCGAAACCUCCGCAAUGUGAGAAAUCGCGACGGGGGGAUCCCAAGUGCCAUUCUUAACGGGAUGGCUUUUCAUUAGUGUAAAGAGCUUUUGGAAUAAGAGCUGGGCAAGACCGGUGCCAGCCGCCGCGGUAACACCGGCAGCUCUAGUGGUAACAAUUUUUAUUGGGCCUAAAGCGUCCGUAGCCGGUUUAAUAAGUCUCUGGUGAAAUCCUGCAGCUUAACUGUGGGAAUUGCUGGAGAUACUAUUAGACUUGAGACCGGGAGAGGUUAGAGGUACUCCCAGGGUAGAGGUGAAAUUCUGUAAUCCUGGGAGGACCGCCUGUUGCGAAGGCGUCUAACUGGAACGGUUCUGACGGUGAGGGACGAAAGUUAGGGGCGCGAACCGGAUUAGAUACCCGGGUAGUCCUAACUGUAAACGAUGCGGACUUGGUGUUGGGGUGGCUUUGAGCUGCUUCAGUGCCGAAGGGAAGCUGUUAAGUCCGCCGCCUGGGAAGUACGGUCGCAAGACUGAAACUUAAAGGAAUUGGCGGGGGAGCAAAUCACUAGUGCGGCCGCCUGCAGGUCGACCAU